GAUUGGUACUUGUACCGAUUGGAUGAGUUGCGAACGGGUGAGUAACGCGUAGGUAACCUGCCUGAUAGCGGGGGAUAACUAUUGGAAACGAUAGCUAAUACCGCAUAACAGUUGUGAUUGCAUGAUGACAACUUAAAAGGGGCAAUUGCUCCACUAUCAGAUGGACCUGCGUUGUAUUAGCUAGUUGGUGGGGUAACGGCUCACCGAGGCGACGAUACAUAGCCGACCUGAGAGGGUGAUCGGCCACACUGGGACUGAGACACGGCCCAGACUCCUACGGGAGGCAGCAGUAGGGAAUCUUCGGCAAUGGGGGCAACCCUGACCGAGCAACGCCGCGUGAGUGAAGAAGGUUUUCGGAUCGUAAAGCUCUGUUGUAAGAGAAGAACGAGUGUGAGAGUGGAAAGUUCACACUGUGACGGUAUCUUACCAGAAAGGGACGGCUAACUACGUGCCAGCAGCCGCGGUAAUACGUAGGUCCCGAGCGUUGUCCGGAUUUAUUGGGCGUAAAGCGAGCGCAGGCGGUUAGAUAAGUCUGAAGUUAAAGGCUGUGGCUUAACCAUAGUACGCUUUGGAAACUGUUUAACUUGAGUGCAAGAGGGGAGAGUGGAAUUCCAUGUGUAGCGGUGAAAUGCGUAGAUAUAUGGAGGAACACCGGUGGCGAAAGCGGCUCUCUGGCUUGUAACUGACGCUGAGGCUCGAAAGCGUGGGGAGCAAACAGGAUUAGAUACCCUGGUAGUCCACGCCGUAAACGAUGAGUGCUAGGUGUUAGACCCUUUCCGGGGCUUAGUGCCGCAGCUAACGCAUUAAGCACUCCGCCUGGGGAGUACGACCGCAAGGUUGAAACUCAAAGGAAUUGACGGGGGCCCGCACAAGCGGUGGA
rnacentral:rRNA from 1 species